rnacentral:rRNA from 1 species
GACGAACGCUGGCGGCGUGCCUAAUACAUGCAAGUAGAACGCUGAAGGAGGAGCUUGCUUCUCUGGAUGAGUUGCGAACGGGUGAGUAACGCGUAGGUAACCUGCCUGGUAGCGGGGGAUAACUAUUGGAAACGAUAGCUAAUACCGCAUAAUAGUAGAUGUUGCAUGACAUUUGCUUAAAAGGUGCAAUUGCAUCACUACCAGAUGGACCUACGUUGUAUUAGCUAGUUGGUGGGGUAACGGCUCACCAAGGCGACGAGACAUAGCCGACGUGGUAGGGGGAUCGGCCCCCCUGAGCCUGCGACACGCCCCACACUCCUGCGGAAGGCCGCCGUAGGCAGUCUUCGGCAAUGGACGGAAGUCUGACCGAGCUACGCCGCGUGAGUGAAGAGGAUUGUCGGAUCGUAGAGCUCGGUUGUAAGAGAGGAACGAGUGUGGGAGUGGAAAGUUCACACUGUGACGGUAUCUUACCAGAAAGGGACGGCUAACUACGUG